GCCCUGGUGGUCUAGUGGUUAAGAUUCGGUGCUCUCACCCCUGCAGCCUGGGUUCAUUUCCCUGUCAGGGAA
rnacentral:tRNA from 1 species